UUUACCUCUCGGCCUUUUGGCUAAGAUCAAAGUCUAGUAUCCGUUCUUAUCAGCUUAAUCUCUGGUACCGCUUCCAUAGGAGGCCCAGAAGAUUAAACUGAUUUUUGGAAAAUGACGAAGUGCUAGGGGCUUGCUACACCUCUGUCGCGGGUUAACCCGAUAUUGCAGUACCUCUGGGAACGGCCCAACUUUU
rnacentral:snRNA from 1 species